rnacentral:rRNA from 1 species
GCUGUCGUCAGCUCGUGUUGUGAAAUGUUGGGUUAAGUCCCGCAACGAGCGCAACCCUUAUCCUUUGUUGCCAGCGGUCCGGCCGGGAACUCAAAGGAGACUGCCAGUGAUAAACUGGAGGAAGGUGGGGAUGACGUCAAGUCAUCAUGGCCCUUACGACCAGGGCUACACACGUGCUACAAUGGCGCAUACAAAGAGAAGCGACCUCGCGAGAGCAAGCGGACCUCAUAAAGUGCGUCGUAGUCCGGAUUGGAGUCUGCAACUCGACUCCAUGAAGUCGGAAUCGCUAGUAAUCGUGGAUCAGAAUGCCACGGUGAAUACGUUCCCGGGCCUUGUACACACCGCCCGUCACACCAUGGGAGUGGGUUGCAAAAGAAGUAG